AGGGGGGAGAGAUGGGCGUGGGGUGGGGUGGGGGAAGAGACAGGCUGCUUUCUCCACCCCGGCUCUGCGCCGACCUUGAGCCCAUCCAGUCUGUUUAAACGGCCGAGUCAAUCUGAAGGAAAGUUGCCUGACGUCACGCAGUGUGGGAGAAAGAUGGCCACGUUAACGAACGGCGUGCAGCAGCAGCAGCAGCAGCAGCAGCCAGCAGUCAGUCUCAGCACCACCAUCCAGAUCAGCACUGCCAACGGGCCUAUGAACGGACUCAGCCACAGCCAGAACAGCACCAUCCCCAUGAAGGACCACGACGCCAUCAAACUUUUCAUCGGCCAGAUCCCCCGUAACCUGGAGGAGAAGGACCUCAAGCCCCUCUUCGAGGAAUUUGGCAAGAUCUACGAGCUGACGGUGCUGAAGGAUCGCUUCACUGGCAUGCACAAGGGUUGUGCCUUCCUAACGUACUGUGCCAGGGAAUCUGCUCUGAAGGCCCAGAGUGCAUUGCAUGAACAGAAGACAUUACCUGGGAUGAACAGACCGAUCCAGGUGAAGCCGGCGGACAGUGAGAGCAGAGGAGAAGACAGAAAAUUGUUUGUGGGCAUGCUGAACAAGCAACAGUCAGAGGAGGACGUUCGCAGACUAUUUGAAGCUUUCGGUAACAUUGAGGAAUGCACAAUCCUUCGAGGGCCUGAUGGAAAUAGCAAAGGAUGUGCAUUUGUGAAAUUUUCCGCACAUGCAGAAGCCCAGGCAGCCAUCAACGCCUUACACGGUAGCCAGACGAUGCCAGGCGCAUCUUCGAGUCUAGUGGUAAAAUUUGCAGACACCGACAAGGAACGCACAAUGCGUCGCAUGCAACAAAUGGCAGGGCAAAUGGGAAUGUUCAACCCAAUGGCAAUCCAAUUUGGUGCAUAUGGUGCCUAUGCUCAAGCAUUGAUGCAGCAGCAAGCGACAAUAAUGGCAUCAGUUGCCCAGGGAGGUUACCUGAACCCUAUGGCAGCAUUCGCAGCAGCACAAAUGCAACAGAUGGCAGCCUUGAAUAUGAAUGGACUGGCAGCUACACCUAUGACACCAACAUCAGGUGGGAGCACACCUCCUGGUAUCACUGCACCAGCUGUGCCUAGUAUUCCUUCUCCAAUUGGAGUAAAUGGAUUCACCGGCCUCCCACCACAGGCUAAUGGACAGCCAACAGCAGAAGCCGUCUUUGCUAAUGGAAUCCACCCCUACCCAGCACAAAGUCCAACUGCAGCUGAUCCCUUGCAGCAAGCAUACGCUGGAGUGCAGCAAUACGCAGGUCCUGCCUAUCCUGCUGCCUAUGGCCAGAUUAGUCAAGCCUUUCCACAGCCACCUCCAAUGAUACCCCAGCAACAGAGAGAAGGUCCUGAGGGUUGCAACCUUUUUAUCUAUCACCUUCCUCAGGAGUUUGGAGAUGCUGAGCUCAUGCAAAUGUUCCUGCCUUUCGGUAAUGUCAUCUCCUCAAAAGUGUUUGUGGACCGAGCGACAAACCAAAGUAAAUGCUUUGGUUUUGUGAGUUUUGACAAUCCUGCCAGUGCCCAGGCUGCCAUCCAGGCAAUGAAUGGUUUUCAGAUUGGCAUGAAGAGACUGAAAGUACAGCUCAAGAGGCCGAAAGAUGCCAACCGCCCAUACUGAACUGCUAGAACUGAACUGAGACUUGAGAGCUAUUACAGCAGAGACAGUCAUAACCCGCAGUCUCAGGCUGUAGGAAAAGUAUCCAUACAAUGAAAUGGAGAAAACGGUCCACUGCGGCGGAAACUGGAGAGGACCGCAUGUACAAAAAAAUAAUAAAAGUACUGUUAAAUAAACCUUUGGACAUAUCAGCAUACGCCAAUCAAGCUGAAGACUUCUUCAGACUUUUAUCUUUGACUGCUCUGAUUGUUUAGGCUGUUAAGUCUCUACAAAAUGUAUCACUUCUGCAGAAGGAUGAGUUUUAAACGCCUGAAAGGAGAGAAAAAAAAAUUAUAAAGAUACUA